rnacentral:rRNA from 1 species
UACGAAGGGGGCUAGCGUUGUUCGGAAUUACUGGGCGUAAAGCGCACGUAGGCGGGUUGUUAAGUCAGGGGUGAAAUCCUGGAGCUCAACUCCAGAACUGCCUUUGAUACUGGCAACCUAGAGACUGGAAGAGGUUAGUGGAAUUCCCAGUGUAGAGGUGAAAUUCGUAGAUAUCGAGGGGAACACCGGUGGCGAAGGCGGCCUUCUGGACAGUGACUGACGCUGAGACGCGAAAGCGUGGGGAGCAAACAGG